CGGCUCCGGGGCGGAUACUAGCGAGGGGAGGAGGCGCAUUGUGCGCCCCGACACUCCCCACUGUGGCGGGCGCUGUACUGGCUGUGACGUCGCAUGGGGGCGGUGCGUGCGUUAGUCACGCACCGUCCCGACGUCACCUUCCCGCCCGCCCGCCACAUUGUAAGGGGCAUGUACGCUGGUCACUGCAUUGAAAGGGGGCAUGUACGCUGGUCACUGUUUUGAAGGGGAGUGAAGAACACACACACACACAAAGGUAACUUGUUAAUUUAACGUUUAUUUCUAUGAGGAGGAGUAAUUCUGAGGGGUCAAACAAAGAAAUAAUUUAAAAAGUGACAAAAAAGUUAUUUUUAUAAUGACGAGUUUUGCAGCUCCCAGUUUUUUUUUUUCUUCGGAAACGGGUCCAAGUGGCUCUUUUUGUCUUAAAGGUUGCAGACCCCUGGUAGAGGCUCUGUUCAAAGCAGGCCUGAGAAACGAAUCUUAUCUCGUUCUAGUUGCAACAUCUUUGGACAUGCUGAACCGCUUUCAUUCCCCUUUUCCUGGGAAGGGUGCCAAGAGUCCCAAGACAGCUUUCUGUUCAUGCUCAGAGGAACUCAUGGGCAGGACUCUGGAAGAAGGAGGAGAAAGGGGGAGGGAACUGGAAGGGAAACAUAUACUCUGUGCAAAUGACUGUGAACUCGUGCAUGCUUUUUGUGAACUAUCACACUUGCUCCUUCUACCAGUUCAUGGAUGGUAGAAAUAAAAGCUUUUUCUCCGAAACUAUUCUUUGAGUGUCUGUUGACUCGCACUUCCCUUUCCCGGGCGCAAUAUUUUUCCCACCCGAGGGCAAAGCCUCAUAAGGCUACAAUCUCAGUCAAACUGUUUGAAAGCAUGUUGUUUAUGAAGAAGUUUAUUUUAACUCAGUAAAGCUCUUAUUCUUUCACUUAAAAACUCUGCAUUAUUAAUCUACACUGCGCAUCAGGCUUGAACGCCAUCCUGGAAACUAGGAGCGCCAACCACCAGCGUCUUUUGGUACACACACAAAUAUUCAUCACCAGAUCACUGAAAUGCCCAGCAAUAAGUUUCACCUGUGAAUGGACUUUUACCACGCCUCAAAUGCAAUAUUGUUCCCCCUCAAUGAAAUCAGUUCGCACAUUCAACAGGUAAAUGCAGAGAAGCGAAAUUAUGGAGAGGGUUUUUAUUUUCAUUAUAAAGUGUCUAAUGUUUUCUCUUUAACAUUUUCUAAAACAAUGCAGACCCUGCUCACAGAAUUACAGUCUUUCCUUUGUUUUAGCAGGUCUCAUAUAUGAACUUAAACCCCAGACAGCUGAUUCACACAAGCAAUUCAUCCUCUC